rnacentral:lncRNA from 10 species
CUGGAAAGACACUCAUGACAAAUGCAAACAGAAACCAGUACAUGAGGCCACUUUCCCCUAGAGAGCCCACAGGAAGGAACCAGCGUUACCACGCGUACGGGAGAGUCUUGGGAUGGUGGUGCCGGCCCAGGACGCAGGACUCCAAUGGAGUCGUUGGUGAGAGCUAUGAGGAGGGCACUCCGCCUGCAGCCUAGAAACAUGCCCCUCUGACCCACCUCCAUUUCUAGAAACAUGCCCCUCUGACCCACCUCCAUUUCUAGAAACAUGCCCCUCUAACCCACCUCCAUUUCUAGAAACAUGCACAUAUGACCCACAAGUCCAUUUCUAGAAACAUGCCCCUUUGACCCACCUCCAUUUCCAGAAACAUGCCCCUCUGACCCACCUCCAUUUCUAGAAACAUGCCCCUCUGACCCACCUCCAUUUCUAGAAACAUGCCCCUCUGACCCCACAUCCAUUUCUAGAAACAUGCCCCUCUGACCCACACCUCCAUUUCUAGAAACAUGCCCCUCUGACCUCACCUCCAUUUCUAGAAACAUGUCCCUCUGACCCACCUCCAUUUCUAGAAACAUGCCCCUGUGACCCCACAUCCAUUUCUAGAAACAUGCCCCUGACCCCACCUCCAUUUCUAGAAACAUGCCCCUGUGACCUCACCUCCAUUUCUAGAAACAUGCCCCUCUGACCCACACAUCCAUUUCUAGAAACAUGCCCCUCUGACCCCACCUCCAUUUCUAGAAACAUGCCCCUCUGACCCCACCUCCAUUUCUAGAAACAUGCCCCUCUGACCCACACAUCCAUUUCUAGAAACAUGCCCCUCUGACCCCACAUCCAUUUCUAGAAACAUGCCCCUCUGACCCACACCUCCAUUUCUAGAAACAUGCCCCUGUGACCCCACCUCCAUUUCUAGAAACAUGCCCCUCUGACCCCACAUCCAUUUCUAGAAACAUGCCCCUCUGACCCCACAUCCAUUUCUAGAAACAUGCCCCUCUGACCCACACCUCCAUUUCUAGAAACAUGCCCCUCUGACCCCACCUCCAUUUCUAGAAACAUGCCCCUGUGACCUCACCUCCAUUUCUAGAAACAUGCCCCUCUGACCUCACCUCCAUUUCUAGAAACAUGCCCCUCUGACCCACACCUCCAUUUCUAGAAACAUGCCCCUGUGACCUCACCUCCAUUUCUAGAAACAUGCCCCUCUGACCCCACAUCCAUUUCUAGAAACAUGCCCCUCUGACCCCACAUCCAUUUCUAGAAACAUGCCCCUGACCCCACACCUCCAUUUCUAGAAACAUGCCCCUCUGACCCACCUCCAUUUCCAGAAACAUGCCCCUCUGACCCCACACAUCCAUUUCUAGAAACAUGUCCCUCUGACUCACCUCCAUUUCUAGAAACAUGCCACUCUGACCCCACACAUCCAUUUCUAGAAACAUGCCCCUCUGACCCACCUCCAUUUCCAGAAACAUGCCCCUCUGACCCCACACAUCCAUUUCUAGAAACAUGUCCCUCUGACUCACCUCCAUUUCUAGAAACAUGCCACUCUGACCCCACACAUCCAUUUCUAGAAACAUGCCCCUCUGACCUCACCUCCAUUUCUAGAAACAUGCCCCUCUGACCCCACCUCCAUUUCUAGAAACAUGCCCCUCUCACCCCACAUCCAUUUCUAGAAACAUGUCCCUCUGACCCCACAUCCAUUUCUAGAAACAUGCCCCUCUGACCCCACCUCCAUUUCUAGAAACAUGCCCCUCUGACCUCACCUCCAUUUCUAGAAACAUGCCCCUCUGACCCACCUCCAUUUCUAGAAACAUGCCCCUCUCACCCCACAUCCAUUUCUAGAAACAUGCCCCUCUGACCCACCUCCAUUUCUAGAAACAUGCCCCUCUGACCCACCUCCAUUUCUAGAAACAUGCCCCUCUGACCCACACCUCCAUUUCUAGAAACAUGUCCCUCUGACCCCACCUCCAUUUCUAGAAACAUGCCCCUCUGACCCCACCUCCAUUUCUAGAAACAUGCCCCUCUGACCCACACCUCCAUUUCUAGAAACAUGCCCCUCUGACCUCACCUCCAUUUCUAGAAACAUGCCCCUCUGACCCACACAUCCAUUUCUAGAAACAUGCCCCUCUGACCCCACCUCCAUUUCUAGAAACAUGCCCCUCUGACCCCACCUCCAUUUCUAGAAACAUGCCCCUCUGACUCCACCUCCAUUUCUAGAAAUUAAUCCUGCAGACAUGGUGUUCCCACACUGGCAUGAGGGUUGUCUGAAACAGGGAACAAGUCUCCAGUUUCUGGAACCCGUGCGGGCAGCUGCCUCUGGGGAGAUGAUGUGGAGAAGCUGGGAGAGGUCUGGGUGGGGUUCCCAGCUGUGCACCUCAUAACAGCCAACUGUAUGAUGUGUGCACUUCUAAACUUCCAGAAGUUUGCUUAAAAACACACGCACACCAGCCGGGCACGGUGGCUCACACCUGUAAUCCC